UUUUAUGAGAGUUUGAUCCUGGCUCAGGACGAACGCUGGCGGCGUGCCUAAUACAUGCAAGUCGAACGCUUCUUUUUCCACCGGAGCUUGCUCCACCGGAAAAAGAGGAGUGGCGAACGGGUGAGUAACACGUGGGUAACCUGCCCAUCAGAAGGGGAUAACACUUGGAAACAGGUGCUAAUACCGUAUAACAAUCGAAACCGCAUGGUUUUGAUUUGAAAGGCGCUUUCGGGUGUCGCUGAUGGAUGGACCCGCGGUGCAUUAGCUAGUUGGUGAGGUAACGGCUCACCAAGGCGACGAUGCAUAGCCGACCUGAGAGGGUGAUCGGCCACAUUGGGACUGAGACACGGCCCAAACUCCUACGGGAGGCAGCAGUAGGGAAUCUUCGGCAAUGGACGAAAGUCUGACCGAGCAACGCCGCGUGAGUGAAGAAGGUUUUCGGAUCGUAAAACUCUGUUGUUAGAGAAGAACAAGGAUGAGAGUAACUGUUCAUCCCUUGACGGUAUCUAACCAGAAAGCCACGGCUAACUACGUGCCAGCAGCCGCGGUAAUACGUAGGUGGCAAGCGUUGUCCGGAUUUAUUGGGCGUAAAGCGAGCGCAGGCGGUUUCUUAAGUCUGAUGUGAAAGCCCCCGGCUCAACCGGGGAGGGUCAUUGGAAACUGGGAGACUUGAGUGCAGAAGAGGAGAGUGGAAUUCCAUGUGUAGCGGUGAAAUGCGUAGAUAUAUGGAGGAACACCAGUGGCGAAGGCGGCUCUCUGGUCUGUAACUGACGCUGAGGCUCGAAAGCGUGGGGAGCAAACAGGAUUAGAUACCCUGGUAGUCCACGCCGUAAACGAUGAGUGCUAAGUGUUGGAGGGUUUCCGCCCUUCAGUGCUGCAGCUAACGCAUUAAGCACUCCGCCUGGGGAGUACGACCGCAAGGUUGAAACUCAAAGGAAUUGACGGGGGCCCGCACAAGCGGUGGAGCAUGUGGUUUAAUUCGAAGCAACGCGAAGAACCUUACCAGGUCUUGACAUCCUUUGACCACUCUAGAGAUAGAGCUUCCCCUUCGGGGGCAAAGUGACAGGUGGUGCAUGGUUGUCGUCAGCUCGUGUCGUGAGAUGUUGGGUUAAGUCCCGCAACGAGCGCAACCCUUAUUGUUAGUUGCCAUCAUUUAGUUGGGCACUCUAGCAAGACUGCCGGUGACAAACCGGAGGAAGGUGGGGAUGACGUCAAAUCAUCAUGCCCCUUAUGACCUGGGCUACACACGUGCUACAAUGGGAAGUACAACGAGUCGCAAAGUCGCGAGGCUAAGCUAAUCUCUCAAAGCUUCUCUCAGUUCGGAUUGUAGGCUGCAACUCGCCUACAUGAAGCCGGAAUCGCUAGUAAUCGCGGAUCAGCACGCCGCGGUGAAUACGUUCCCGGGCCUUGUACACACCGCCCGUCACACCACGAGAGUUUGUAACACCCGAAGUCGGUGAGGUAACCUUUUGGAGCCAGCCGCCUAAGGUGGGAUAGAUGAUUGGGGUGAAGUCGUAACAAGGUAGCCGUAUCGGAAGGUGCGGCUGGAUCACCUCCUUU
rnacentral:rRNA from 1 species